rnacentral:rRNA from 1 species
AGUGAACGCUGGCGGUAGGCCUAACACAUGCAAGUCGCACGGCAGCACAGUAAGAGCUUGCUCUUACGGGUGGCGAGUGGCGGACGGGUGAGGAAUACAUCGGAAUCUACUUUUUCGUGGGGGAUAACGUAGGGAAACUUACGCUAAUACCGCAUACGACCUACGGGUGAAAGCAGGGGAUCUUCCGACCUUGCGCGAUUGAAUGAGCCGAUGUCGGAUUAGCUAGUUGGCGGGGUAAAGGCCCACCAAGGCGACGAUCCGUAGCUGGUCUGAGAGGAUGAUCAGCCACACUGGAACUGAGACACGGUCCAGACUCCUACGGGAGGCAGCAGUGGGGAAUAUUGGACAAUGGGCGCAAGCCUGAUCCAGCCAUACCGCGUGGGUGAAGAAGGCCUUCGGGUUGUAAAGCCCUUUUGUUGGGAAAGAAAAGCAGCAGGUUAAUACCCCGCUGUUCUGACGGUACCCAAAGAAUAAGCACCGGCUAACUUCGUG